rnacentral:tRNA from 1 species
GACUCCUUGGCGCAAUUGGUAGCGCGUUCGUCUCCAAAGCGAAAGGUUGCGUGUUCAAAUCACGUAGGGGUCA